rnacentral:rRNA from 1 species
GAUGAACGCUGGCGGUAUGCUUAACACAUGCAAGUCGAACGGAAUCUUUAGGGUUUAGUGGCGGACGGGUGAGUAACGCGUGAGAAUCUGGCUUCAGGUUCGGGACAACCACUGGAAACGGUGGCUAAUACCGAAUGCGCCUGUGGGUGAAAGGUUUACUGCCUGAAGAUGAGCUCGCGUCUGAUUAGCUAGUUGGUGGGGUAAGAGCCUACCAAGGCGACGAUCAGUAGCUGGUCUGAGAGGAUGAUCAGCCACACUGGGACUGAGACACGGCCCAGACUCCUACGGGAGGCAGCAGUGGGGAAUUUUCCGCAAUGGGCGAAAGCCUGACGGAGCAAUACCGCGUGAGGGAGGAAGGCUCUUGGGUUGUAAACCUCUUUUCUCAGGGAAGAACUAAAUGACGGUACCUGAGGAAUAAGCAUCGGCUAACUCCGUGCCAGCAGCCGCGGUAAUACGGAGGAUGCAAGCGUUAUCCGGAAUGAUUGGGCGUAAAGCGUCCGCAGGUGGCAGUGUAAGUCUGCUGUUAAAGAGUCUGGCUCAACCAGAUAAAGGCAGUGGAAACUACACAGCUAGAGUACGGUAGGGGCAGAGGGAAUUCCUGGUGUAGCGGUGAAAUGCGUAGAGAUCAGGAAGAACAUCGGUGGCGAAGGCGCUCUGCUAGACCGAAACUGACACUGAGGGACGAAAGCUAGGGGAGCGAAUGGGAUUAGAUACCCCAGUAGUCCUAGCCGUAAACGAUGGAUACUAGGCGUUGCUUG